rnacentral:rRNA from 1 species
GAUGUGAAAGCCCUGGGCUCAACCGCGGGCCUGCAGGGGGUACGGGCAGACUAGAGUGCGGUAGGGGAGAGUGGAAUUCCGGGUGUAGCGGUGGAAUGCGCAGAUAUCAGGAGGAACACCGAUGGCGAAGGCAGAUCUCUGGGCCGUAACUGACGCUGAGGAGCGAAAGCAUGGGGAGCGAACAG